UUGCUCCUGGAAACUCUCAUUUCCGAGGUUCUUCGAACUACUCUUCUCUGUUAUGGCGGUGACUUGGACUUUUGGAUGAUGGAACUCCACUCGUCACAGACCUGAGGGCGAUGGUGUCUUCUACUUCAUCACAUCUGUUCUACUUUACAAAAUGGCUUUAAGAGGAAACGCUUUGACAAAUGCAUGUCUGCUGAUCAUUUUAAUGAGAGUCUUCAGUGUCCGUUCCCUCACAUGUCAUCUCACAGAGUAUCAGAUCGGGAUGAA